rnacentral:rRNA from 1 species
UUAAGCGACUAAGCGUACACGGUGGAUGCCCUGGCAGUCAGAGGCGAUGAAGGACGUGCUAAUCUGCGAAAAGCGUCGGUAAGGUGAUAUGAACCGUUAUAACCGGCGAUGUCCGAAUGGGGAAACCCAGUGUGAUUCGUCACACUAUCGUUAACUGAAUACAUAGGUUAACGAGGCGAACCGGGGGAACUGAAACAUCUAAGUACCCCGAGGAAAGAAAUCAACCGAGAUUCCCCCAGUAGCGGCGAGCGAACGGGGAGCAGCCCAGAGUCUGAAUCAGCUUGUGUGUUAGUGGAACGGUCUGGAAAGUCCGACGGUACAGGGUGAUAGUCCCGUACACCAAAAUGCACAGGCUGUGAACUCGAAGAGUAGGGCGGGACACGUGGUAUCCUGUCUGAAUAUGGGGGGGACCAUCCUCCAAGGCUAAAUACUCCUGACUGACCGAUAGUGAACCAGUACCGUGAGGGAAAGGCGAAAAGAACCCCGGCGAGGGGAGUGAAAAAGAACCUGAAACCGUGUACGUACAAGCAGUGGGAGCACCUUCGGGUGUGACUGCGUACCUUUUGUAUAAUGGGUCAGCGACUUAUAUUCUGUAGCAAGGUUAACCGUAUAGGGGAGCCGCAGGGAAACCGAGUCUUAACUGGGCGUUAAGUUGCAGGGUAUAGACCCGAAACCCGGUGAUCUAGCCAUGGGCAGGUUGAAGGUUGGGUAACACUAACUGGAGGACCGAACCGACUAAUGUUGAAAAAUUAGCGGAUGACUUGUGGCUGGGGGUGAAAGGCCAAUCAAACCGGGAGAUAGCUGGUUCUCCCCGAAAGCUAUUUAGGUAGCGCCUCGUGAAUUCAUCUUCGGGGGUAGAGCACUGUUUCGGCUAGGGGGUCAUCCCGACUUACCAACCCGAUGCAAACUACGAAUACCGAAGAAUGUUAUCACGGGAGACACACGGCGGGUGCUAACGUCCGUCGUGAAGAGGGAAACAACCCAGACCGCCAGCUAAGGUCCCAAAGUCAUGGUUAAGUGGGAAACGAUGUGGGAAGGCACAGACAGCCAGGAUGUUGGCUUAGAAGCAGCCAUCAUUUAAAGAAAGCGUAAUAGCUCACUGGUCGAGUCGGCCUGCGCGGAAGAUGUAACGGGGCUAAACCAUGCACCGAAGCUGCGGCAGCGACACUAUGUGUUGUUGGGUAGGGGAGCGUUCUGUAAGCCUGCGAAGGUGUGCUGUGAGGCAUGCUGGAGGUAUCAGAAGUGCGAAUGCUGACAUAAGUAACGAUAAAGCGGGUGAAAAGCCCGCUCGCCGGAAGACCAAGGGUUCCUGUCCAACGUUAAUCGGGGCAGGGUGAGUCGACCCCUAAGGCGAGGCCGAAAGGCGUAGUCGAUGGGAAACAGGUUAAUAUUCCUGUACUUGGUGUUACUGCGAAGGGGGGACGGAGAAGGCUAUGUUAGCCGGGCGACGGUUGUCCCGGUUUAAGCAUGUAGGCUGGUUGUCCAGGCAAAUCCGGAUAAUCAAGGCUGAGGUGUGAUGACGAGGCACUACGGUGCUGAAGUAACAAAUGCCCUGCUUCCAGGAAAAGCCUCUAAGCAUCAGGUAACAUCAAAUCGUACCCCAAACCGACACAGGUGGUCAGGUAGAGAAUACCAAGGCGCUUGAGAGAACUCGGGUGAAGGAACUAGGCAAAAUGGUGCCGUAACUUCGGGAGAAGGCACGCUGGUGUGUAGGUGAAGCCCCUGCGGGUGGAGCUGAGACCAGUCGAAGAUACCAGCUGGCUGCAACUGUUUAUUAAAAACACAGCACUGUGCAAACACGAAAGUGGACGUAUACGGUGUGACGCCUGCCCGGUGCCGGAAGGUUAAUUGAUGGGGUUAUCCGUAAGGAGAAGCUCUUGAUCGAAGCCCCGGUAAACGGCGGCCGUAACUAUAACGGUCCUAAGGUAGCGAAAUUCCUUGUCGGGUAAGUUCCGACCUGCACGAAUGGCGUAAUGAUGGCCAGGCUGUCUCCACCCGAGACUCAGUGAAAUUGAACUCGCUGUGAAGAUGCAGUGUACCCGCGGCAAGACGGAAAGACCCCGUGAACCUUUACUAUAGCUUGACACUGAACAUUGAGCCUUGAUGUGUAGGAUAGGUGGGAGGCUUUGAAGCGUGGACGCCAGUCUGCGUGGAGCCAACCUUGAAAUACCACCCUUUAAUGUUUGAUGUUCUAACGUUGGCCCCUGACCGGGGUUGCGGACAGUGUCUGGUGGGUAGUUUGACUGGGGCGGUCUCCUCCCAAAGCGUAACGGAGGAGCACGAAGGUUAGCUAAUCCUGGUCGGACAUCAGGAGGUUAGUGCAAUGGCAUAAGCUAGCUUGACUGCGAGCGUGACGGCGCGAGCAGGUGCGAAAGCAGGUCAUAGUGAUCCGGUGGUUCUGAAUGGAAGGGCCAUCGCUCAACGGAUAAAAGGUACUCCGGGGAUAACAGGCUGAUACCGCCCAAGAGUUCAUAUCGACGGCGGUGUUUGGCACCUCGAUGUCGGCUCAUCACAUCCUGGGGCUGAAGUAGGUCCCAAGGGUAUGGCUGUUCGCCAUUUAAAGUGGUACGCGAGCUGGGUUUAGAACGUCGUGAGACAGUUCGGUCCCUAUCUGCCGUGGGCGCUGGAGAAUUGAGGGGGGGCUGCUCCUAGUACGAGAGGACCGGAGUGGACGCAUCACUGGUGUUCGGGUUGUCAUGCCAAUGGCACUGCCCGGUAGCUAAAUGCGGAAGAGAUAAGUGCUGAAAGCAUCUAAGCACGAAACUUGCCCCGAGAUGAGUUCUCCCUGAGACUUUAAGUCUCCUGAAGGAACGUUGAAGACGACGACGUUGAUAGGCCGGGUGUGUAAGCGCAGCGAUGCGUUGAGCUAACCGGUACUAAUGAACCGUGAGGCUUAACCUU